GACGAACGCUGGCGGCGUGCUUAACACAUGCAAGUCGAACGGAAAGGCCUCUUUCGGGGGGUACUCGAGUGGCGAACGGGUGAGUAACACGUGAGUAACCUGCCCUUGACUUUGGGUUAACUUCAGGAAACUGGGGCUAAUACCGGAUAGGAGCUCCUGCUGCAUGGUGGGGGUUGGAAAGUUUCGGCGGUUGGGGAUGGACUCGCGGCUUAUCAGCUUGUUGGUGGGGUAGUGGCUUACCAAGGCUUUGACGGGUAGCCGGCCUGAGAGGGUGACCGGCCACAUUGGGACUGAGAUACGGCCCAGACUCCUACGGGAGGCAGCAGUGGGGAAUAUUGCACAAUGGGCGGAAGCCUGAUGCAGCAACGCCGCGUGCGGGAUGACGGCCUUCGGGUUGUAAACCGCUUUCGCCUGUGACGAAGCGUGAGUGACGGUAAUGGGUAAAGAAGCACCGGCUAACUACGUG
rnacentral:rRNA from 1 species